AUAUUAACUUUAUCUCAAGCGUUCUGCACUCGCAUUCUACGUUCGAGUGGUCAGUCACACAGGAGCAAUUCUGACGCGGUCAGAACGCUCCCUGUGUGA